AUCCAAGCAUAUCAGCACAAACAACUCAUAUCAACUGUCUAGCGUGGUGGUGGAGGCGUGAUAAUUGGGGCUUAUUUUGCAGCCAAAGUACCUGGAAAACUUGCAGUCAUUGAGUUGACCAUCAACUCCUCUGUAUAACCAACAGGGCCGGACUGGCCCACCGGGAUACCGGGAAAUUUCCCGGUGGGCCGCGGCACCUGGGGGCCGGCCGCGUUCCUGGG